rnacentral:rRNA from 1 species
GGCUUAGAGUUUGAUCAUGGCUCAGGAUGAACGCUAGCUACAGGCUUAACACAUGCAAGUCGAGGGGCAGCGGGGUUGAAGCUUGCUUCAACCGCCGGCGACCGGCGCACGGGUGAGUAACAAGUAUCCAACCUGCCGAUAACUCCGGGAUAGCCUUUCUGAAGAAAGAUUAAUACCGGAUGGCAUACUUUUCCCCCAUGGAAUAACUAUUAAAGAAUUUCGGUUAUCGAUGGGGAUGCGUUCCAUUAGGCAGUUGGCGGGGUAACGGCCCACCGAACCGACUAUGGAUAUGGGUUCUGAGAGGAAGGUCCCCCCCAUUGGAACUGAGACACGGUCCAAACUCCUACGGAAGGCAGCAGUGAGGAAUAUUGGUCAAUGGACGAGAGUCUGAACCCUCCAAGUAGCGUGAAGGAUGACUGCCCUAUGGGUUGUAAACUUCUUUUAUACGGGAAUAAAGUUAGCCACGUGUGGUUUUUUGCAUGUACCGUAUGAAUAAUGAUCGGCUAACUCCGUGCCAGCAGCCGCGGUAAUACGGAGGAUCCGAGCGUUAUCCGGAUUUAUUGGGUUUAAAGGGAGCGUAGGCGGGGUAUUAAGUCAGUUGUGAAAGUUUGCGGCUCAACCGUACAAUUGCAGUUGAUACUGGUAUCCUUGACUGCAGCAGAGGCGCGCGCAAUCCGUGGUGUAGCGNUGAAAUGCUUAGAUAUCACUAACAACUCCUAUUGCUAAGGCAGCUCACUGGAGUGUAACUGACUCUGAUGCUCGAAAGUGUGGGUAUCAAGCGGAUUAGAUACCCUGGUAGUCCACACAGUAAACCAU